AGCCCAGAGCCUGAAUCAGUGUGUGUGUUAGUGGAAGCGUCUGGAAAGGCGCGCGAUACAGGGUGACAGCCCCGUACACAAAAAUACACAUAUUGUGAGCUCGAUGAGUAGGGCGGGACACGUGGUAUCCUGUCUGAAUAUGGGGGGACCAUCCUCCAAGGCUAAAUACUCCUGACUGACCGAUAGUGAACCAGUACCGUGAGGGAAAGGCGAAAAGAACCCCGGCGAGGGGAGUGAAAAAGAACCUGAAACCGUGUACGUACAAGCAGUGGGAGCACGCUUAGGCGUGUGACUGCGUACCUUUUGUAUAAUGGGUCAGCGACUUAUAUUCUGUAGCAAGGUUAACCGAAUAGGGGAGCCGAAGGGAAACCGAGUCUUAACUGGGCGUUAAGUUGCAGGGUAUAGACCCGAAACCCGGUGAUCUAGCCAUGGGCAGGUUGAAGGUUGGGUAACACUAACUGGAGGACCGAACCGACUAAUGUUGAAAAAUUAGCGGAUGACUUGUGGCUGGGGGUGAAAGGCCAAUCAAACCGGGAGAUAGCUGGUUCUCCCCGAAAGCUAUUUAGGUAGCGCCUCGUGAAUUCAUCUCCGGGGGUAGAGCACUGUUUCGGCAAGGGGGUCAUCCCGACUUACCAACCCGAUGCAAACUGCGAAUACCGGAGAAUGUUAUCACGGGAGACACACGGCGGGUGCUAACGUCCGUCGUGAAGAGGGAAACAACCCAGACCGCCAGCUAAGGUCCCAAAGUCAUGGUUAAGUGGGAAACGAUGUGGGAAGGCCCAGACAGCCAGGAUGUUGGCUUAGAAGCAGCCAUCAUUUAAAGAAAGCGUAAUAGCUCACUGGUCGAGUCGGCCUGCGCGGAAGAUGUAACGGGGCUAAACCAUGCACCGAAGCUGCGGCAGCGACGCUUAUGCGUUGUUGGGUAGGGGAGCGUUCUGUAAGCCUGUGAAGGUGUGCUGUGAGGCAUGCUGGAGGUAUCAGAAGUGCGAAUGCUGACAUAAGUAACGAUAAAGCGGGUGAAAAGCCCGCUCGCCGGAAGACCAAGGGUUCCUGUCCAACGUUAAUCGGGGCAGGGUGAGUCGACCCCUAAGGCGAGGCCGAAAGGCGUAGUCGAUGGGAAACAGGUUAAUAUUCCUGUACUUGGUGUUACUGCGAAGGGGGGACGGAGAAGGCUAUGUUGGCCGGGCGACGGUUGUCCCGGUUUAAGCGUGUAGGCUGGUUUUCCAGGCAAAUCCGGAAAAUCAAGGCUGAGGCGUGAUGACGAGGCACUACGGUGCUGAAGCAACAAAUGCCCUGCUUCCAGGAAAAGCCUCUAAGCAUCAGGUAACAUCAAAUCGUACCCCAAACCGACACAGGUGGUCAGGUAGAGAAUACCAAGGCGCUUGAGAGAACUCGGGUGAAGGAACUAGGCAAAAUGGUGCCGUAACUUCGGGAGAAGGCACGCUGAUAUGUAGGUGAAGCGACUUGCUCGUGGAGCUGAAAUCAGUCGAAGAUACCAGCUGGCUGCAACUGUUUAUUAAAAACACAGCACUGUGCAAACACGAAAGUGGACGUAUACGGUGUGACGCCUGCCCGGUGCCGGAAGGUUAAUUGAUGGGGUCAGCGCAAGCGAAGCUCUUGAUCGAAGCCCCGGUAAACGGCGGCCGUAACUAUAACGGUCCUAAGGUAGCGAAAUUCCUUGUCGGGUAAGUUCCGACCUGCACGAAUGGCGUAAUGAUGGCCAGGCUGUCUCCACCCGAGACUCAGUGAAAUUGAACUCGCUGUGAAGAUGCAGUGUACCCGCGGCAAGACGGAAAGACCCCGUGAACCUUUACUAUAGCUUGACACUGAACAUUGAGCCUUGAUGUGUAGGAUAGGUGGGAGGCUUGGAAGUGUGGACGCCAGUCUGCAUGGAGCCGACCUUGAAAUACCACCCUUUAAUGUUUGAUGUUCUAACGUUGACCCGUAAUCCGGGUUGCGGACAGUGUCUGGUGGGUAGUUUGACUGGGGCGGUCUCCUCCUAAAGAGUAACGGAGGAGCACGAAGGUUGGCUAAUCCUGGUCGGACAUCAGGAGGUUAGUGCAAUGGCAUAAGCCAGCUUGACUGCGAGCGUGACGGCGCGAGCAGGUGCGAAAGCAGGUCAUAGUGAUCCGGUGGUUCUGAAUGGAAGGGCCAUCGCUCAACGGAUAAAAGGUACUCCGGGGAUAACAGGCUGAUACCGCCCAAGAGUUCAUAUCGACGGCGGUGUUUGGCACCUCGAUGUCGGCUCAUCACAUCCUGGGGCUGAAGUAGGUCCCAAGGGUAUGGCUGUUCGCCAUUUAAAGUGGUACGCGAGCUGGGUUUAGAACGUCGUGAGACAGUUCGGUCCCUAUCUGCCGUGGGCGCUGGAGAACUGAGGGGGGCUGCUCCUAGUACGAGAGGACCGGAGUGGACGCAUCACUGGUGUUCGGGUUGUCAUGCCAAUGGCACUGCCCGGUAGCUAAAUGCGGAAGAGAUAAGUGCUGAAAGCAUCUAAGCACGAAACUUGCCCCGAGAUGAGUUCUCCCUGACUCCUUGAGAGUCCUGAAGGAACGUUGAAGACGACGACGUUGAUAGGCCGGGUGUGUAAGCGCAGCGAUGCGUUGAGCUAACCGGUACUAAUGAACCGUGAGGCUUAACCUUACAACGCCGAAG
rnacentral:rRNA from 1 species